rnacentral:rRNA from 1 species
AUUGAACGCUGGCGGCAUGCCUUACACAUGCAAGUCGAACGGUAACGCGGGGCAACCUGGCGACGAGUGGCGAACGGGUGAGUAAUAUAUCGGAACGUGCCCAGUAGUGGGGGAUAGCCCGGCGAAAGCCGGAUUAAUACCGCAUGAGACCUGAGGGUGAAAGCGGGGAUCGCAAGACCUCGCGCUAUUGGAGCGGCCGAUAUCAGAUUAGCUAGUUGGUGGGGUAAAGGCCUACCAAGGCAACGAUCUGUAGUUGGUCUGAGAGGACGACCAGCCACACUGGGACUGGGACACGGCCCAGACUCCUACGGGAGGCAGCAGUGGGGAAUUUUGGACAAUGGGCGCAAGCCAGAUCCAGCAAUGCCGCGUGCAGGAAGAAGGCCUUCGGGUUGUAAACUGCUUUUGUCAGGGAAGAAAUCUUCUGGGUUAAUACCUCGGGAGGAUGACGGUACCUGAAGAAUAAGCACCGGCUAACUACGUGCCAGCAGCCGCCGUAAUAC